rnacentral:lncRNA from 1 species
GGCUGUUCGGGGUGGGCCAUCCUGGAGCCUGGCAACCACGGGAGAAUCAGAUGUGAACUUUUGGACUCUGUCUCUCACAGAGCCAACUCGACGGAACUGGGACGGUCCUGCAAGUGAGGGAAGCAUCAGAACCCAACCUACAGGCAGGGAAAGGGGAGAUGGGACAGGACAGGAGAAGGCAGAAGCCUGUGGUAACCUGUAACAGGGCUCCUCACCUGCUCUCUUAGUGUUGGAGAAGCCUCUGAUGGAGUCCAAGGUAUCUGAGGGCUCUGUGGGGCCAGGCAGGGGCUGCAAAGAGAAACACCACAUAGGAAGGGGCUCUCAGGCCAAGGAACUCACCUGUCUGGCAUCCCCACCUCUCGCCCAACUCACCUUGCUGAUGACCCGCCCCCGAGAGCUGGACGGUACCGGCGACAUGGGGGGCUCAGGGCUAGGAGCUUCUGAAGGGUGUGGAAGUGGCUCAGAGCUGACUGGAGCCUCCACAGCAGGACACUGGGCUCCAGCAGGCUCCAGCAGAGGCUCUGGAGAGGCACUGGUGGGUGAAUUGUGGGGGGAAGCAGGUGAGCUGGGCCUGCCCCCAGGCGGGGCCCUCAGCAGGAGUGUCACUGUGGUCACAUCCUGGCUGGUGUCCUCUGGGGUUGGGGUUGGCUCGAGUACUUCUGUCUGCUGUUCCUGCUGCUCUGGCUCUGGCACCUGCAGAAGACACACAGGACGCAACCAAGGUUUCUCUGACUCUGAAUGCUACCCCCACCCACAGAGGACCAAGCUGAUAGAGCAGGCCAUGCAAAGCAGAGGGGCUGGGCAUGGCUUCCCGCGGGCACACCUGCAUAAGGAAGGCUGGUCAGUGCCAAAGGUGGUUUAACAAGGACCAGAGUCUAAUGCCAGUGAUUGGCCAUAACAGGAAAUUUGCUGGGGACUCCCAUUCCUAAAGGACCCUCCAACCCGGAACUCUAGCUUCAAUCUAGCUAAUCAGACAGUACAGUUGUGCAGAACUAGGCAGAUAGCGUACUCUGCUGGCCAUCCGUGGAAAUGGUAUGUUCUUAAAGUCUCAUGCUAUCUGAAGAAUAGAGAGGACACUGAACACUACUUAGAGGGGCCUGACAGGCACUCCCUGGAGAGCCAAGGGUCCAAUGUGUGUGCUGCCUGCCUCCUGCUGUCCUCUCGGGGGCCACUACUGGGAAGUCUACUGCACAGUCUCCCAGCCAAGGUGGCAGCUGGAAGGACAGGGCAAGGCAAGUGUCAGGAAGUGAUGUGAGAUAUGAGAUGCAGGGCAAGGGUCCUGUCGCUGCAGCUCCCGGAUGGCUGAGCGGAUCCGCCGCCGUUCUGCCAGAUCUGCAGUGACCUCCAGCUGCAAUGUAGGUGGGAGUAAGGGGUGGGCAUUCUGUCAGGGGCAAAGGACUGGCACCAACUGCCCACAGCUCUGCCAGGGGCACAAUGGAUGGCUUGUCUCCAGUCUCUCUACCCUAAGCCUUCCACGUGCCUGCCUCCCACUCAGGGUUUUUAGGGGCAACCUCGCUCAUGACACCAAAGAUCCUGAGAAGCCCACUGUGCAGUGUGAUGCCGAGGGCCCCCUUCUGUGAGUGCACAGCCUGUAGCCACCGACCCAAGCCAGGUGCCAAGCAGCCAGGCACUCCUUUGUGGGACUUGACAUCUGCUCUCCGGGGGCUUUCAUUAACCCUUUAGACCAGGGAGCCACAGCAGGAAGAGUGUAGUCACCCUUCUUCUCUGAGCUACCGACAAGAGUCCAAGGAACGAGAAGGGUGAUUCAGGUAGCUGAAGUCUGACUAGGUGAUCUACCUAGUCAGAGUAGCAGGGCCCUGCCGGGAAAGAUGUGAGACAGGGAAUCUGAGGCAGUAGCCUAGCUCCCUGCUUGGCAGUGAGUUACCUUUCCCCUUUUACUGACUAUGGCCUAGUCCUAGCCACCAUGGAAGAAGUCAAGACCUAGGGUGGGAAGGGCUAGACCCCUAGUGAGUGACCCAAAGUGUCAGACCCAGCACUAAAUCCCAUUUGCCACUUGCUUGGUUUUUUGAGACAGGGUUUCUCUGUGUAGCCCAGGCUGUUCUGGAACUUGCUCUGUAGACCAUGCUGGCCUAGAACCCAGAGACCUGCCUGCCUCUGCCUUCCAAAUGCUUGGAGUUAAGGGACGGACACACCAUCUCAGCCAGCUUCUACCGUCCUCCCUUCAAGGUUUAGUUUUAUUCAUGUGUUUGCAUGUAUCUGUAUGAGUGGAUGCCAUGUGCACAUGGGUGACUGUGGAGGCCAGAAGAGGGCAUCAGGUCUCUGGAGCCAGAGUUACCAAGUGCUGGGACUUUCGGAAGAGGAGCUAAGGCUCUUAAUUAACUGAUGGUCCCAUCCAGACCUACUCUUGAUACAUUACUUUGAUACAUCAUUUUUAUCUGAUAAGAGGGAAUUGAGUGUCUUGUUUAUGGCUUGCCUGAGACAAGAUAGCUGUGGUGUUGAGGGCUCUCUGUCAUGGUGGGGAACUUUGAGGUCCUGUACCAGAGCCCCCUUUAGCCUGCUCUAGAAAUGUCAAAGUCAAAGGAAACCUUAUUACAACCAAGAGAUCUAUGCUCACUUCUCACAGAACAUGUGGAGAUCGGUGGCCUGAGGAGACAGCUGGUCCAGACUGGUCCGGAGGGUCAAGAUCCAGAGAUACAAUGACUUUGUCUCAUGGGUCCUCAUUUCCAACCCCCAGGAAAAAAAAUACAAGAUAGGAACUUGGCCAUUUCUACAACCCCUGGGUACCUCAGUGUCUCCAUUUGGAAAUUUGGAUCCUCCUAAUGAAUUCUCUAAGUGGAAGGGGGUGGCUGGGCCUCACUCUGCUGGCCACUCCCUGGCAUCCUUCCUUUUGGGACUGUGGGCAAAGCUCUGACAAGUGUCCCUGCUGUGUCCUGUGUUCCACGCCCUCUCAAACACCAAAGGUCAGACCACAGUGUUUCUACUGUGUCUAGAGUUCCUCACCCUCUCGGUCACCCCCACUGUGUGUGGAGGGGACUGCGGGAGGGAGGGAAGGAAAUACAAAGAACUAUUGUCCGCCAGGGGGAAGGGGAUGGUUUCCGAAACUGCCUAGUGAAAUUCUCCUGGGAGGAAAGAGGGUGCUUCCUCCUCCGGUGGGAGGAUGGAGGGGGAGGGGACUGAGGCUCGGGUGCUUUCUACUCCGGCUGCUGGGGGGCAUCUAUUCAACCCAACGUUCCUAGUUUCAGGCUCUCCCUCCUGCACAAAAAGUGAUUCUCCUGUAGUUCCUCCCUCAGUCCCAGACCAGAGCUGCCCCCUGUGUUGAUAGCAAUUGGGGAAAUGCCUCGCCAGGGGGCGCUAAAAGCCCGCAGGCUGCAGCCACCAGCACAGGGCUCACUCACGCCCCACCCACCCAGUCUCCAGCCGGGCGUCCCAGCUAGGAGCCAGGCAGGAAACCCUCCGCCACCGCCGGCUUUAACGUCCCAUCUGCAAAGGAAGGGAGGUUCACAGCACCUAAGCUGCUUCCCUAGGUCACCCGGACGGGAGGUGGCAGACGUGCAAACACGUGGCAGGGGGCACAGGCAGCGUGCCUGUCCUUAGGUGCCCCUGUCCCGUGCAGCCCACCACCCCGUCCUCAGGAAUGUGCGGGAGCGGGACCGGAAGCAACUGCGGCUCCCCCAGUCAGCUGGGCACAGCUUUCCCAUAUAAGGCCGGGCCCCACGGGGAGGAGCCGGGCCCGGGACCGUUCCUGCCACGAAGCCGGAGGGUGGGACCCUCACAGCUCCAGGCACAGCAAUGGCGCGCACGGGCGCGGUGAAGCCCGGGGCUGGAGUGGGCCUGGGGCCGUGGAGACGAGACAGGGUUGGGUCUCCCUUGUCCUUUGCUCCCAGGCCCGGGGCUGGGAGGAAGCACGUCCGGCAACUACUGCUUCUGUUUCUCCUCUAACAGCACGUUUCCCAGCUUCCAAACCUUGCAUGAAUGGGGUCUGAUGGGAGUGCGUGAACACUCAGCGUGGCUUUUCCUAUGGAAAACAUGAAGACUCUGACUUGAGGGACGGCGAAGGUGACCGGUGGGCAUCUUUGGAGACCCAAUCCCAUCUCCUGGCAGCAGAGAGCCUGGAGUGGCUGCCCUUGGCAGUGGUGCAGGAUGAGGUUAAGGUUCUUGCCCCAGGACACACAGGCCAACCUCAUAGGAGAGGUCAAGGCAAUUAGACCAAGUGGCUCAAGCCUCUGCCUCUAGGGGAAAGGAUUGGUGGUGGUAUGGGUCACUUGUAAGGAAAGUAAAGUCUAUAUAAUUUUUUGCCCUUGACAGAGAGCAGGGUCUGGUUGGUGGGGCUGUGGCCCCUCUCCCCACGGCCUUUCUUCUAGCCUUUCCCAUGACUCUGGGUAUCCCAAGACUUCCCCCCACCCCCGGAGUUUGGACCCUAAUAAAGCUUUUAGCCUGG